UCCUCGUUGACCGAGGCAGUCUCGCGUGAAAAAUACAACACACGACAAGGGUUGCGCUCGUUGCGGGACUUAACCCAACAUCUCACGACACGAGCUGACGACGACCAUGCAGCACCUGUCACUGAUCCAGCAAACUGACUCCCAAGUUUCCAAGGGAUACGAUCAGGAUGUCAAACCUGGGUAAGGUUCUUCGCUUAGCGUCGAAUUAAACCACACGCUCCACCGCUUGUGCGGGCCCCCGUCAAUUCCUUUGAGUUUUAAGCUUGCGCUCGUACUCCCCAGGCGGAGUGCUUAACGCGUUAGCUUCGAUACCCAGGGGGUCUAUUCCCCGAAUACCUAGCACUCAUCGUUUACGGCGUGGACUAC
rnacentral:misc_RNA from 1 species